rnacentral:rRNA from 1 species
CAGAACGAACGCUGGCGGCGCGUCUUAAGCAUGCAAGUCGAACGGCAAGAGGUAGCAAUACCUCCUAGAGUAGCGGACUGGUGAGUAACACGUGGGUGACAUACCCUUCAGAUGGGGAUAGCUAUUAGAAAUAGUAGAUAAUACCGAAUACGAGCACAGGGGUUAGAGAUCUGUGAGGAAAGGAGCUAAGGCUCCGCUGAAGGAAUGGCCUGCGGCCCAUUAGCUAGUUGGUGAGGUAAGAGCCCACCAAGGCGAUGAUGGGUAUCCGGCCUUAGAGGGUGAACGGACACAUUGGGACUGAGAUACGGCCCAGACUCCUACGGGAGGCAGCAGCUAAGAAUAUUCCGCAAUGGACGAAAGUCUGACGGAGCGACGCCGCCGUGGAUGAAGAAGGCCGGAAGGUUGUAAAAUCCUUUUGAAACUGAAGAAUAAGCGUUGUAGGGAAUGACAGCGUGGUGACAGUAGGUUUUGAAUAAGCAACGGCUAAUUACGUGCCAGCCGCCGC